GCCAGCCCGCUCAGAAACUCAAUGAAUUGACGGGGCCCGCACAAGCGGUGGAGUAUGUGGUUUAAUUCGAUGCAACGCGAAGAACCUUACCUGGUCUUGACAUCCCGGAGACCCUUAGGAAACUAGGGGGUGCUUCCAUCUGGAAGAAUCUGGAGACAGGUGCUGCAUGGCUGUCGUCAGCUCGUGUCGUGAGAUGUUGGGUUAAGUCCCGCAACGAGCGCAACCCUUGCCUUUAGUUGCCAGCAGUUCGGCUGGGCACUCUAAAGGGACUGCCGGUGUUAAACCGGAGGAAGGUGGGGAUGACGUCAAGUCCUCAUGGCCUUUAUGACCAGGGCUACACACGUACUACAAUGGCCGAUACAAAGGGCAGCGACACUGCGAGGUGAAGCCAAUCCCGUAAAAUCGGUCUCAGUCCGGAUUGGAGUCUGCAACUCGACUCCAUGAAGUUGGAAUCGCUAGUAAUCGUGGAUCAGCAUGCCACGGUGAAUACGUUCCCGGGCCUU
rnacentral:rRNA from 1 species